UUCCCUGGCAGUCCAGUGGUUAGGACUUCGCACUUUCACUGCCGAGGGCCCAGGUUCAAUCCCUGGUUGGGAAA
rfam:TPA: Bos taurus chromosome 28, whole genome shotgun sequence.